rnacentral:rRNA from 1 species
GUGGGGAAUCUUAGACAAUGGGCGCAAGCCUGAUCUAGUCAUGCCGCGUGAGCGAUGAAGGCCUUAGGGUUGUAAAGCUCUUUCGUGGGGGAAGAUAAUGACUGUACCCCAAGAAGAAGCCCCGGCUAACUCCGUGCCAGCAGCCGCGGUAAUACGGAGGGGGCUAGCGUUGUUCGGAAUUACUGGGCGUAAAGCGCACGUAGGCGGACUGGAAAGUCAGGGGUGAAAUCCCGGGGCUCAACCCCGGAACUGCCUUUGAAACUCCCAGUCUUGAGUUCGAGAGAGGUGAGUGGAAUUCCGAGUGUAGAGGUGAAAUUCGUAGAUAUUCGGAGGAACACCAGUGGCGAAGGCGGCUCACUGGCUCGAUACUGACGCUGAGGUGCGAAAGCGUGGGGAGCAAACAGGAUUAGAAACCCCGGUAGUCC